CCUACGGGAGGCAGCAGUGGGGAAUAUUGCACAAUGGGGGAAACCCUGAUGCAGCGACGCCGCGUGAGUGAAGAAGUAUUUCGGUAUGUAAAGCUCUAUCAGCAAGGAAGAAAAUGACGGUACCUGAUUCAGAAGCCCCGGCUAACUACGUGCCAGCAGCCGCGGUAAUACGUAGGGGGCAAGCGUUAUCCGGAUUUACUGGGUGUAAAGGGAGCGUAGACGGCAGCACAAGUCUGGAGUGAACUGCCGGGGCUGAACCCCGGAACUGCUUUGGAAACUGUGCAGCUAGAGUGCAGGAGAGGUAAGUGGAAUUCCUAGUGUAGCGGUGAAAUGCGUAGAUAUUAGGAGGAACACCAGUGGCGAAGGCGGCUUACUGGACUGUAACUGACGUUGAGGCUCGAAGGCGUGGGGAGCAAACAGGAUUAGAUACCCUGGUAGUC
rnacentral:rRNA from 1 species